CGCUAAUCCGUUCCCCCAAUAUUUCCCUUUCCCACCUAAGUCUCAAACCCUAUCUCCUCGUUUCUACAAGCCGCCGACUUCAGACUUCUCCUCCAUGGCGAUUUCGUGAUUUGCCUGAGACCAAGGAUUACAGACCGGAAUCACCGUAUUGUAUCCUAAUCACCAUUAUCACUGUAUUGAAGCUUCAAAUUAGGGCUUUUGCCUUUUGGUCAAAAUAUUACAAGACGUCAAGACCUGUUAGGGCUUUUGAUUUCAGGCAAGUUAAGGCUUCUAUUGAACCAUUAAUACUAAUUUUCUACUGUCUCUUAACAUUCUAUAAUAAGGUGCACGAAUGAAUUGGUUAGAGACCAGAGCAUCUUAAACAAACAGAAUUUAAAUACCUGCCCCAUUCAACACUGGUUCUUAACGACACACCCAUUCUACUCCAUGUGGUGUGGAUGUUUGUAUGUAACCUGUCCCAUUCGACACUGAUUCUUAACGAUACCACGCCUCUUAGCUCCUACCAUUCGGAUUAUAUGUACAACACAACUGCCAAUCCUAACAGCUUACAAACUCAACUUGCGACGAUUUAAUGCUCAGACGGAAUUGUUUCAUCACGUCCUCCUCCAUUGAACUUGCCAAGAGCCCUAUUGCCCACGCAAAUCUAAUGGCCAUCAUCCCUCUCUACCAAACCUGGCAGUGAGAAAAAUAAGCACGGACACCGAACUCGAUAUCAUGUGGGACAAUUGGAUCAACUUUCUUCUAUAAGGUCUAGUGAUGCUCAAGAGAUUGAUGAAACAUAUCAAGUACUUGAAUCAUUGGAAUGGAGUGCUGCUAUAUCUUGGAUCUGUCGAUUAUGUUAUAGCGGGAGAACAACUCAUAGUGACUUAGUCGAAUUGGGAUCAGCUCUGGAAUUUGGUCUUGUAGGAGCGAUCAAAAACACAUCGUUAACAGGUUUGAUUUUCUUCCAUUUUCUAAUGCUACUUUUGAUGCUGCCUUUUAACCUUCUUUUCUGCCCUUGUGCCUAUUGUUGUUGAUUCUGGGAGCUCUUUGUAGUGCCUCUUAAGUUUAGGCUCCUAACUUACCUCAUCCUUCUUUUCUACCCUUGGCUCCUAUUGUUGUUUAUUACCUCUUCUCCAAGAAAGGAUGAGGCUCAAACUCACAACUCACCGAGAAACACACAUUAUAAUAGAUCUCUCUCAAACCAAGAAGCCCAAAAGGUCUAUAUACGAGCCUGCCUACUGAUGGCUUUGGAAAGAUACCAUCAAAGGAUUUAAGAUAGUUACCAUUGAUAAUAGAAGUAAUAGCAAAUAUGAACUGAGUGCUUCAGACUUCUCAUGUACCUGCACCUACACCACUUGAGCAUGUCUAUGAGUAAUGAGUAGCAUGGUGGAUCACUCCUCUUAAGUCCCAUGACCUACUCCAUAAUUGAUACUUGCACCACUUGAGCCAUUUGCACCACUUGAAUACUAUACCUGCUAGCUGCACAAUCUCUUGUCAUUUGUUGCUUGCAAGGAAUUGAUAUGCCAGCUAAGGGAUGAGCACACAUCGAAUCUGCUUGUUGAACCAUUUGUGCUUAAUAUGUUCACACCAUAAUUGCCAAGAAAGGGACCUAAAAUGCAGAUUGUAAAAUAUGCAAUAGACAUAAUAUCAACAGCAACAGAUUACAUUGAAAGCAUAUAGCAGUGACAUUUUAUAGCUAACGAAACCAGUAGGACGCAAAAGGUGAGACAACCAAGUAACAAUCUGUUAGGUAGUCAACUCCCAUUCAUUUACAAACCAGCUAGCUUGAUCGCCUUUAGCUUGAGACAUGAGCCUAAACCUAACAUCUGAACAGAUUUUAUGAGUCACAAUAACAGCAGGGCAGCUAACAUUUUUAAACUUAAAUUCCUCUCCUUCCAAAUCUGGUAGAUAGUGAUUGUGAAAGCUAAUUUAAUGGUAGUUACCCUCUAUGUGAAGGGACUUGGCAUUAGGCCUUCCUCCUCUAUUAGGACUAAUGGUUAGUGGUGUAUCUAUGAACGGGGAGUAUGUAACACACCUCAAGGGAAAGGUGCAAGAGUAAGCUGAGAAAAUUCAAGAGCAAGCUGAAAAAAUUCAGGAGCAAGCAGAAGGAAUUGAAGUGGCAAACAAUAAGAUACACGAGCUAGUAGAGGCAAAAGAGGAACAUGGGGGACUUUGGCUAGUGUUAUGGCGUUUCUUGAACACCAAGGAUUCACUGGUUAACGACUUGCUGGUCAGUACAUCAUGCUUUCCCUAUUUAUACUCAUAAUGAGAAAACUGGGAGUGGGCUGUAUAUUUUUGUUGGCUUGGUUUUCUGCCCUUUUUUUUUUGCCCUUUUUGAGCAUAUGUUUUCUAUUUAUAGAGAUUAUGAAAGUUUUUAUAUGCUCUCAUUUGAUGUUAACUAUUUGUUCCUUCUUGAUUAGUUGAUCUCUAUAUCUUAUAUGGCUGAAACAAGUUACACUAAAAUAGUCUAGUUACACAACGCUGUUUUGAGUCUAAUAGUAAUGGACACCCAAACAGAGGUCUGACGGCUGCACUUGCAGGUUUAACUUCCACGUUCUCUCUCUCUCUCUCUCUCUCUCUCUCUCUCUCUCUCUCUCUCCAAUUGCUUUUGAUUUGUCUUCUCUGUAUACUGGUACCAAAACAACUUUCAUGUCCCGAAAUAGAGGGGUUUCCACCACUUUACAGUGGGGACACAACAUGGACACGCGGGGGACACAACAUAUAUGGGGACAUAGCUCCUUAGGUGUAUAAAACCUUGUAGCUUAACAUAACAGCCCUUUUAUUAUUCUACAUUCUGCUAUUACGUAUAGUAGGACUAUAAGUAUGGGCCUUAAUUUUCCAAACGGGCAUGGGUAAAGCUCCAACAAAUAUUGCCAAUAAUAGCACAACUAUGCUUAGAAUCUCACUAUUCCAUUGGAUCAAUCAAACAUGGCUAUUAGACAUACACUUAACAGAUAAAUAGAUGACCAAGUUAUAUAUGAGUAUGAGGCUUUUUCUCUCUUUAAAAGUUUGGAACUGUGCAUGAAACAUCCCAUGUGGUGAAUUUUUUUGUUUUUAUUGAUUGUGUUGUGGGUGGUUUCGGAGGGAUGUGGGGUGUGGAAUUGGAUGUGAAUGAGUUAGCUUGAGGAUUUUGAAUUUGGCUGGAUAGACUUCUGUGGCAGGGUGAGAGGAGUGUAUUUUUCGGCUGUUCUGGUAUUGGUUCUGUGGCUGCUUUGUGUGAUGUUUGAUUUGUGUUUCUUUGUUUCUCUUGCUGGUUUUAUGUUGUUGGGGGGGCUGCUGCUCUAUUUGCUAUCUUUCGGUUGCUGCAUCUAGUGGUGUGAUUUUGGUUUUUGGCUACUCAUGUCUGCUAUUGCUGCUCUUAAUUUUCUGGAUCGCUUGGCCAAUCUUUGCUGAUGUUUUUUGGGUGAGGUCUGCUCUUAAUUAUUGGUAGUGAAGUCCUAUGGCAUAUCUUGUGGUUAAGGUGGAGUUGGUUCCUGCUUUUGGUUGCUUCUAUUAGGCCUGGUGGUACUGGUGUUGUAUUUUGAGUUAGGUCAUCACUUGUGUCAUUUAUAUAUUAAGUUUCCAUAAUGUUUUGUGUUCUAUUAACAUCAUAACCAAAAUACUUUAUCCUACUUUUUAUAUGUGCAAAUUGCAUAUGCAUAAGGUUGGUAGCAGGGAAGAUGGUAUAUAUACGCUCUUCUAUGAAUAUUUUUUGUUUGGAUAUAUGUUUCCAUGAAGACUCCUCCUUUGGAUGAAGGUCCAAGUCUUUUUUUUUUUGGAUAUAUGCUUCUAUGAAAACUCCUUUUUUGGAUGAAGUUUCGAGUCUUCUUUUCUGGAUACAUGCUUCUAUGAAGACUCUUUUUUUUGUUGAAGUUCCGAGUCUUCUUUUUUCAUUUUAAUGAUGCUACCGAACUAUGAUGAACAUAUAUGGUAUAUAUUGUCUACCUUUCAUGUUUUUGUCAUGGGAACAUUGAUGCUUUAGAUCCUAUGGUUGAAUGGACACAUUUGGUGUAGAAUACAUAGUUUUUGUGGUUAAUGGAUGUCUAGUUUGGUU